UACGAAGGGGGCAAGCGUUGUUCGGAAUUACUGGGCGUAAAGGGCGCGUAGGCGGCCGAUCAAGUCAGGCGUGAAAUUCCCGGGCUCAACCUGGGGGCUGCGCUUGAUACUGAUUGGCUUGAAUGCGGGAGAGGAUAGUGGAAUUCCCGGUGUAGUGGUGAAAUGCGUAGAUAUCUGGAGGAACACCGGUGGCGAAGGCGGCAUCCUGGACCGGCAUUGACGCUGAGGCGCGAAAGCUAGGGGAGCAAACAGG
rnacentral:rRNA from 1 species